AAAUCGGCCCUUUUCAGGGCCAACAAAUAGUAUUUGUGUAAUAUUU
rfam:Aedes aegypti strain Liverpool supercont1.505 genomic scaffold, whole genome shotgun sequence.